AUCACAGUCUGAUGGUUGGGUUUUCACUCUCAUGCAUCAGAUGUGCCUCCUUCAAACACUGUUACAUCAGCACAUUCUGACA
rnacentral:snoRNA from 1 species